AAUUCCACGUGUAGCGGUGAAAUGCGUAGAGAUGUGGAGGAACACCAGUGGCGAAGGCGACUCUCUGGUCUGUAACUGACGCUGAGGAGCGAAAGCGUGGGGAGCGAACAGGAUUAGAUACCCUGGUAGUCCACGCCGUAAACGAUGAGUGCUAAGUGUUAGGGGGUUUCCGCCCCUUAGUGCUGCAGCUAACGCAUUAAGCACUCCGCCUGGGGAGUACGGUCGCAAGACUGAAACUCAAAGGAAUUGACGGGGGCCCGCACAAGCGGUGGAGCAUGUGGUUUAAUUCGAAGCAACGCGAAGAACCUUACCAGGUCUUGACAUCCUCUGACAACCCUAGAGAUAGGGCUUUCCCUUCGGGGACAGAGUGACAGGUGGUGCAUGGUUGUCGUCAGCUCGUGUCGUGAGAUGUUGGGUUAAGUCCCGCAACGAGCGCAACCCUUGAUCUUAGUUGCCAGCAUUCAGUUGGGCACUCUAAGGUGACUGCCGGUGACAAACCGGAGGAAGGUGGGGAUGACGUCAAAUCAUCAUGCCCCUUAUGACCUGGGCUACACACGUGCUACAAUGGACAGAACAAAGGGCUGCGAGACCGCAAGGUUUAGCCAAUCCCACAAAUCUGUUCUCAGUUCGGAUCGCAGUCUGCAACUCGACUGCGUGAAGCUGGAAUCGCUAGUAAUCGCGGAUUCCCGCAGCCGCGGUAAUACGUUCCCGGGCCUUGUACACACCGCCCGUCACACCACGAGAGUUUGCAACACCCGAAGUCGGUGAGGUAAC
rnacentral:rRNA from 1 species